rfam:Salmo salar isolate Sally breed double haploid chromosome ssa12, whole genome shotgun sequence.
UAGCUCAGUUCGUAGAGCAUGGCGCUUGCAGCACCAGGGUUGUGGGUUCGAUUCCCAU